UAAAGUCUGCGGUGUGCGUGGUAUGGGAAAUUCGUAAUCCACAAUGUAUAAAAGGGAGCGGGCUGUUCGCGGAAAUAGUCAAGGUCUGUUUUACGGAAAGUACGACGUUUCGCUUCAACGCACCCACCUGCGAGACGCGGGUUAAUACUUUUUCAUAUCACGGCACAGGCGGAUUUUUU
rnacentral:other from 1 species